rnacentral:lncRNA from 1 species
AAACGUCAUUUCUUCUUCUUUAUUUCUUCCAAAGCCAUUUAUAAAGUUCCAAGAACUUUCUCCAUCACCCACAGCCACCAUUAGCCACCACAAACCAUCGUUGUUCUCCACACCGAGAGGAACCCUUCAACCGAAGCGGAAUCUUCCAACUUGGCUUGCGGUUUCGGUAGAGAACGAAACCCUAAUCUAACCUUUCGUUUUCUUUCGAGGUAACCAUGGUUCUACGCUUGUUUCUUGUUAGUUUCAUCUUGUCUUUUCAUCUUUUCUGACUUUGGAACCGCCAUUGUAUGUCUUAUGCUUCCUUUGAAAAACUUUUGAGAAAGAGACUUUGUAAACGUUAUCCUUUCAUGAAAUGCAUGUUAUUUUCGUAACCUACACUGAACCCCAGUCACAUUGGCGUGGUCGGAAUUUCCAAAUGAUGUUCCUUUGUAAAACCCAAAAUUCUCUCAGCUCUUUCAAGUAGUGAUGUGGGUGUUUUACCCAGAGCACUGUUACUAGCUUUGUUUUCUGAAAUCCAUACUAAGUCUCCUUCGUUUUGGCAUAGUAGAGGCUUACGUGGAAUCGACGAGCAAGGACGAAAAGGAAUCUUCAAGUGACGCGACGAGAAAUCCGUGGGGUAGCUCACGAUAGGUGAGGGGAGUUUAUUAUAAAAUUUACCGUUUUAACACCAUAGUUAGGGUCAGGGAACCUAGCUAUGAGGAUAUUUGCCUGUCCCUGUUGCAUGCUGAUUUUUCUUCAAAGAAAAUUACGUUUUAACUAAUGGGAUGUGAUAUAUAUAUAUAUAUGUAUUGUGAUGAAUGAUAUUGUUUUGGUUGUUUGAAAUGUGUUGUUUGGAGACCGUGCGUGUGGAAAUGAUAUUGUUGUGUUUGUUUGAAUUGUUGUUGAUGUUGCUAUUGAGGAUUUUAAUUUAUAUGUGAUGAUAAUGAUAAUUUUGAUGAUAUUGAUUUGAGAUGACGUUGUUAAUAAAGACCAUGUCAACAUGAAUUGUUAUUAUCGAUGAAUAUGUGAAUAUGAAAUAAGGUUGUUGUUGUUGUUGAUAACGUCAUUGAGAUGAGAUGAUAUUUAUGUUGUGAAUGACAUGGAAAUGGAAUGUUGAUUGAUGUUGGAAAUGCAUUGGCAUGUACAUGUUGUGUAUGUUCAUGGGGGGCACUGUGCACUGACCUUCCAGGGUCUUUGGCACUAGCUUUUGGCCACGAACAUACGUCGUAUGGAGUGUAUGUCAUGGGGGGGUAGAGUGCACUGACCUUGUCGGAUGGCGCAGACGUGGGUAACUAGCGUGGUUAGAGAAUCUAAGCAUUUUUUAGGGGAUGCUUAGGCGCUUUAAUUGGUCCAUGGUCUUUGGCACUUACUUUUGGCCGUGAUCAUAGCUCAUACGACAUAGGAAAUAGAGUAACUGUGGCCAAGUGUACUUUGUACUAGGGGGCUUGUCACCUGGUAGGGAACACCUUUGGGCUCCCAGGCUGAUCACCUAUGGGAGGGGGGUUUUUAGGUGCACAACCGGGUGGUCUCGAUAAACUCAGCACAGUUCCCUAAGUGAGAGUGUCGUGUGGACACGCUUAGGCUAUUUCCUGAGGUUUGGUUGUUGUUGGUACGUACCACAUUGCAUCUGAGUGUUGAGUCAGGUGCAUGCAUCAUUCUGUGCAGUCUUGAUUGGGUCCAUGGAUGGAUGAUGAGUAAUUGUUGGAUGUGAAUGAUGAAUAUUUGUUGGAUAUGAGUGUUGAAUAAUGAUUGUUGUGCAUGCUUAUCAUGUUUGCCUAUGUUCCGUGCUAAUUGUGGUUAUUUGGAAUUGGUAUUGGUUCUUUUAUAAUAAACUCACCCUUGCAAUUUUGUAUCGUGUGGUUGAUACCUAUGAUGAUCACGAACCUUGUUCGUGGGAGCAGAAUGACAGUGGCAGGGUGUAGAGAGUAAGAUUCUGGUGAGGAGCCGCCGAG